rnacentral:rRNA from 1 species
AACGAACGCUGGCGGCAGGCCUAACACAUGCAAGUCGAACGAAGUCUUCGGACUUAGUGGCGCACGGGUGAGUAACACGUGGGAAUAUACCUUUCGGUGGGGAAUAACAUCGGGAAACUGAUGCUAAUACCGCAUACGCCCUUCGGGGGAAAGAUUUAUCGCCGAGAGAUUAGCCCGCGUCCGAUUAGGUAGUUGGUAGGGUAAUGGCCCACCAAGGCGACGAUCAGUAGCUGGUCUGAGAGGAUGAUCAGCCUCACUGGGACUGAGACACGGCCCAGACUCCUACGGGAGGCAGCAGUGGGGAAUAUUGGACAAUGGGCGCAAGCCUGAUCCAGCCAUGCCGCGUGAAUGAUGAAGGUCUUAGGAUUGUAAAAUUCUUUCACCGGGGACGAUAAUGACGGUACCCGGAGAAGAAGCCCCGGCUAACUUCGUGCCAGCAGCCGCGGUAA